GGGGGUUGCGGAGCUCACUGGAGGGGGCCGGGUCCGGGACAAACACAUUAUAUUUGGCCACAGCAUGUUUGCCGUACCAAACAGUUCCGGCUCAGUGCUAAUUGGACGCUUGGGCUCCCAAUUAAGGCCACGGCUCAAAAGGCGACUGGGAAUAAAAAAAUAGGGGAACGCACAGACGCAUGCACAAACAUACCCCCCCCCCCCCCCCACAGUUCUCUCCAUUGGACUUCAUUAGCGUGGCGAAGGGCGUCCAGCGGGACAAGGGACAUGGACACGUGCAGUAUACGCUCUAACACAGACGCACUAACGUGUUCAAAACCAGACUAACAAAUGUGUCGCUGUGAACAGUUUGGUAACCUAGUUAGUCUUCAACAAAACACGUGACUCCACCUGUUGUUCUGGAGGUGAAUCGCUCUGCAACACACGCGAGACUUUACAACCAGGAAGUGAAACCAGUGCGUCGACGCGUAAAGACGCAGAAACACGCGCCGGUCUUUAGAAUUUAACAAUUUUCUAUCAUAUUAGUUUUUAUAUUAUUGUGCACUUUUAAAGUCAAACUCUUCAUUUCUUGUUCUCAGAAAGGAGACGCAAGAAUUAGAAGUUUCAGAUUAUUUUGUUGUGUUGUGACAACACAGGGUGGGCACAUUGUUGAUCUAGUCGAUCCCCAUCUGUGUCGUCCCUCUACAAGACACAUGAUCUCAAACUACAGAUGGCAAGUCUAGUUGAUUAAAUGUAUCAGAUGAUGGUAUAUAACGUAAAAUGCUGGAGAGUUACAACCUCAUGAGAGCAGCGUGAACCAUUUGCCAUGAUUGGUUAUAAUAAUACAGGGAAAUCUGUAAAAUAGUAGUUUUUCUCUGCAAAACUUUUAGUGAUAUCCCUCUAAUGAAAGUGUUUAGCUGUAAUAAUACAGGAAAAAUCUGUAAAAUAACAGUUCAAUGAAAUAUUCCUUAAAUGUAGGGUUUUUCACACUUUAUUUAAACAAAGAUAUUUCAUUUACAUUUUACGGUUUCUGUUUGGCAGCUGUUGACAGUAAUUUGACCAUUUUUUUCACACUGUGGCAUUAAGUGGGCUUCAUCCCAGGCUCGAUGCCAAUUUGACUAAUUCACUCGACACAAAUAUAACUUAGUUGCUGCAAAUAAUUUGCUAUUGUUGAGCGUCUGAGCUAGUGGCUGGCUAAGUAAUGAAAUACUAGGUGGUGCAUUAAACACAAGACGAACAGGGAUAUACUGUAUGUUCAUGGAGAAAAGUGCAGACUCUAAACACAGAUAAAUGAUAAAAGAAAGGUACAUAUCAAUGUGGACUUGGUGUCACAGGACACAGACAGCAGUCAACGACUGACUGAUGAAGAGUGGCAUUGAGACUCCACUGGGACACGGUUGGCUCUGGACAGAUAUCUGCAUGUUUAAUGUAUAGCAUAAUAUAAAGCAUUUAAUGUGGGGUAAAAUAUAUAAAACCAUGGAUAUAAGACAAGAGCAAUGCCAUACACAUGUUACAUCAAUCAGUCUUAUCAAAAAUAAGGAAAGUGGCAGUGCACAACUUUGCACAUGGGAUUGUAUGAUAUUAACUAAAAACUCCCAUCCUUGAAAUUCAUAUUCAUAUUACAAGCCAAGUAUCCGUUUGAAACCUUUUUUUGCCAUCCAUCAACUCACAUCUGAUCGUAAACUACUAAUUAUGGUAGAAUUCAUUUAUUUAGAUGAAACAAAAAACAAAAAGACUUUGAACACAUCGUUCUUUCCCCCCCCACUACGUGACGAGAGCUCGGAGGAGGAAAGCCAACAAAAGGAGGACAUGUUUAAAUAGGUCAAGUGUCUCCAGGAGCGUUUCAUGUCUUAGAGGGAUGGUCCUCGGGGACAACAGAGCCAUCAAUCUGUGGCCUUUUUCACCGUAUGGAAAUGAACUAAAUACUCUGGCGGUUGGUUUGUCAUCUGGAAAUGGGAAAUGGUUUGUUCGGCAUUUCCUUUAAAAUGGUGAGGCUUGUGGGCUUGCAUGUGUGUGGUGCUCCUCCGACUGCGUGUCAGAGACAACAACAGUCCUCUCUGACAAGGAAACUGUCCUCUCCAAAUCGUUGGCCUGAAGCCGUCUGACUGCUCUUGUUUGCUGACUUGUGUCUAGCGGUCUUGCUGUUGUCCUUGAAGUGUUGCUGUGCUUUACCAGGUUCCUUUAAAGAGCUUUACUGUCUCCAUGAUGAAUGAAGGGGAACAGCUUGAUUCUAAUGUCUCUCUGGAUGUUUUCAUGAGUCUGCGCGGUACUGCUCGUCCACUGUUACGCUUUGAGUAUAUAUAUAUAAAUGAGAACAGUCGCUGACAGCAUGUCAUGGCACCAGUUUGUCUCUCUUCAUCUGCCCAGUGCAAAACAGCAAAUGGCAAAUACACAACAAAAAGCAGCAAAGGGCCGUAUUUGAAAUAGUGCUAAACAAGACGUAGCCACAUCUGUGCGUCAUCACUCCUCCUGCGACUACCAGGGCGACACCUGGCCUCACGCCAUGAUGCUUCCCCAUCCUCCGUGAAAAGCGCCGGUCAGACGUCCGGGCUCGUCCUCCAGGCGUGUCUGCAGGCCUCGCCCCGUGGGGACGUGUCUGCAGGCCUCGCCCCGUGGGGACGUGUCUGCCGGCCAGGAACAAGGGACACUCAGUGUUGCGGUUGGCUGCAUCGAUCCGACUGUCUGCCGUCCUUCUGAGGACAUGCUGGAUGCAGCACCCGGCCCGUUCACUGCUGAAGAUGUGAGAAAUAGUUACAUGUUUGAGAUUGUCAAGGAAAAUCAAACAAACCAAACAGGGAAUAAGAGAUUAAAAAAGAAAAGUCACACAUGUUUCUGCACACUGAUGAUCUAUUUGUGUUUUAACAUUGUCAUUGUGAACGCAUGAAAGCCACCGCCAUCUUUACAUGUACACAAACGUAGGAGUCAGUAGACUGAUCAAAAUGGAAUUCGGUGGUUGAUUAGGAUUAGCAUUCUAUUCAUCUGUUUCCAAAACUGAAUUCUUCCUUUGGGAGGCUCAGCCUGCAGCAUUAACCGGCCACUCGCCCUCACUCGGGGGGGGUCUCUGUCCCUCCCACACACCUUAAAAUGAACAUUACUGAACGGCGUCACUAGAUAAGGGGUGAAUCCUUUUGGAAAACAGGUGUCGCACACUCGUAGUUCUGCUGGUGGCCGAGUAUCAAUGUUUGCAUCCUUUAGUCUGCGUGUGGACUAGAAAUAAGCACUAACAAAAAAGAGGAACUUCCUCAGUUUUGUGACAGUUUCCCUUCUCAAAGGCGCAAAUCACGACAUCUGAUUGACGAGACGGUCUGAUUACGCCGCUCGCUAAUGACUCCAAGAAGAGCUGCAUCAAACAAAAAUAUAUAUGACGUACAAUGCAGCUAAAUGGCACAAUUCAUUACCCGAGUUUUAGCGCACACACACACACACACACACACACACACACACACACACACACACACACACACUAUACCAGUUGUGGCGGCUUCUCAAACCCCAGAUAUUUGAAUUCUCUUUAACAGUAGAAAGCACAAAAAAAUAAAGCCUUUGUUUCUGACAUUUGUGGAGGUGAGUGUGUUUUUUUCCCCCCGUAUGUUAUUUUCAAUCACGAUACGUGACACGACUCUGCUCACUUAAAGCUUCCAUUUCAUGUUGACAAAGGCCUUCCUGCCUCUCUCUCUCUCUGCAGACACGUGAACUAAAGUGGAAGAAGAGCGAGGCGGCGAUGGGCGGCAUCAAAGCAGGCCUGUCAGCUCGUAGGUACGGGCCUCAUCAGCAGACACACAGCCUUCCUCCCUUUCUUCCAUCCUUUCAAACAGACAUCUUGGGCCGAUGGCAGGGUGUUGUCUAAUUAAUGACUGAAUGUGUGUGUGUGUGUGUGUGUGUGUGUGUGUGUGUGUGGAGUUGACCUAAAAAGUUAUCGUCACUCAUUGCUGAAUGUCACUCCCAUCGCAUUUUACUAUGAAGGUUGUCAGACUCUCUGCUCUUCACAUCCCCGGUUACUCUUAGCGAAGAUAGCGAUAUGUUGCAGUCGGUCCUGCACAGAAAUCAUUUAAACCAACCGUGAGCGGGGAAACGAAUGCUGCCAUAUUUGCCGUGCUUGUGUUGCACUGUGUAGUAGCCGUCACGUCAGCUGGCUGCUGUUCACAUUCACACUUUAGCAUUUUAGAUUGGAGCUGUUAGCGCUCUGAUGUUCUGAUGCGGCCCGGACUGGAGACAGACGGGAAGCAACCUUUGUUUCCUUCUUCUCUACAUUUCACCACAUGUCACUGUGUGCUCACGUGGCCCGAGGCUUCCAAUCUGUCCUCAGCACAAAGAAAGAAAGGCCCAAAGCUUCACGAGGCUUCCUCGACUCUCCAUCGGCCUCUCUAAUGAUCCACAUAUGUGUUUGUAGUUGUGGGAGUUGCAGCAGUGUUAAUUUUGGCAGCUAUUUUUUAUUUAGUCUCAGUCUUCAGACGAAAAAUGCAUAUAAGUUUUAGUCACAUUUAGUCAUUUUAAUCUUUCUUAGUUUUAGUCAACGAAAACUAGACUAAAAUGUAAUUAGUUUUAGUCACAUUUAAUAGCCAUAUUAAACUCCUUUUCUUCCCUUCUCAGGCCCAGGGACCCCCUGUGUUGUGUCUACAGCUGCAUAAUAGUCUAUCUUGCAGUACUUGGUUGUCCAUCAGAUGUCCCUCCUAGGACAGGUCUACAGAUGUCCCUCCUAGGACGGGUCUAUAGAUGUCCCUCCUAGGACGGGUCUAUAGAUGUCCCUCCUAGGACAGGUCUACAGAUGUCCCUCCUAGGACGGGUCUACAGAUGUCCCUCCUAGGACGGGUCUACAGAUGUCCCUCCUAGGACGGGUCUAUAGCAGGUCGGCAGACUUUGACUCAUGGGCCACAAUGGGUUGUAAAAUGUGACGGAGGCCAAGAACAAAUGGUGGAAGUGUUUGUGUGAGUUGAUAUAAACGACAUGUGAAACAUCAUUACAUGAAAGGAUUUGGAUUUUAACAAAUAGAAAAGCAUUUAUUUGCAAGGCAAUUUAACAAAUUGUCAAAGGUGUAACAACUUCAUGAGGACCAGGGACCUAAACGCAACACUUUGUUGCCUUUGUCUGUUUACUUGCAAUGCUUUUGACACUUCAUGGUCCUUUAUUGUUUCCACUGUCCCAACAAAAGAGACCCUAACGUCCUACAAUCGGUGCAAUACAUUAUUUUCUUGGCUUCAGAACCUGCAAUGAGUUUAUUACGUUAGAUGCGUUUGUGACUGCCUGUCGUCUGUCAGCUGCGUGCGAAUUUAGGGGGAAAAGUAUUGUGACUUUGUCACGUCUCGUUAACGAAAGUUAGAAUAGAUGUAGUCAUAGUUUUCAUUUUUUAAGAUCGUUUUCGUCACGUCUUAGUCUCGUCCUAGUCUUGGAAAAAAGGUUUGUUAACGAAAAAUUUUCAUCAUAGUUUUCGUCGACGAAAUUAACACUGAUAUACAGUAAACUGAGCAUUCAACAAAAACUGCUCAGUAUUUCCCACAACAAGAACCAAAAUGAAGGUAUCAGGUGGCUUUUUAGUCCGUCCGCUUGCCGUAAAUGACCUUUCCUACUGAAGCAAUGGCUGAUCACUCAUAUGGGCCUGCAUAGGAAGAAGACCUCAAUGACUGUAUAAAUGAGUCCAUCAAUUCAUUGUUUUAAAUUGUUUGUUUCAGCCCAAACAUCACAGGUCCCUGAGCACGACAACAAAAAAGUUGUAUUCCUCUACAUGAUGACUAAUGCAGUUUUGCUGAAAUCUAUUGGCGUUUGGGGAAUAAAAUGUGGUGAGAUGAUGA
ensembl:lncRNA